GUUGAUAAGACUGGUAUCGAUUCUUCGAGAGUUCCGGUGCUGAUAUACUCGCAAGAAGCAGUCGUGUUUGGGGCAGCUUUCUACACCUCUGUGCCGGCAGAUUUGUAAGAUUGGAAGUUGUUUCAGUGUGGAGAGAGAUGGACACGGUGUAUUGUUAGUAAACCCUUGAACAAUGAAUGCUAGAUUGGUGUCCAACGUUGUGAUGGUGGAUAAUGUCGGAAUGCGGAUGGUUGUGUAACAUUGGUGAAAAGUUUGUGUUGGGAAGUUGCAUGAUGGAGCAUUGGUAAAUUGUGUAUUAUGUAAAUGGCAUUGUUAUUCUGGAGACAGGCCAGCAUUCAAAGAGAAUUAAGUAUUUUAUCGUAUUAAAAAUUUCAAUAAGUAAAAAUAUAUUUGAAAGGCUUAUUCAAUAAAUAAAUAAUAAUUUCAAUAAGGUAUAUUUUACAGAUGAUAGGAAUUGUCAAAAAUAGAUUGUCUAGUUAGUUAGCAGAUGGAAGUUUAAUGGUUCUACUCAGAUACAACCCCUUGCCUGAAACUUUGCACUUAGACACACAUUCUCAUGUACGAAAAAGAGCUGGAGUGUCGCCAUAUGACUUAAAAAGCAACAAAUUAAUUGUAAUAUGUUGAGUUUAAAAAGUUUGUUAAGAUAAAGUAAAUAUUUAUAUUUUGAGAUAAUUGUCACCGGCCCUUGUCUAUAACAAACAUACAUUGCACUUUGGGACACAUCUGCAAAUAAAGCUGGAGAGUUGCCAUGUGGCAUAAGAGUUGUGACUACUGGAGCAAUGAAGGACUUGGCAGACACUGUGAAAGUUGAUCAAGACUGAUAUCGAUUCUUCGAGAGUUCCGGUGCUGAUAUACUCGCAAGAAGCAGUCGUGUUUGGGGCAGCUUUCUACACCUCUGUGCCGGCAGAUUUGUAAGAUUGGAAGUUGUUUCAGUGUGGAGAGAGAUGGACACGGUGUAUUGUUAGGUAAAACUUGCCAUUUGAUGUCACGGGUAGUUCUCAUUAUAGGUAAUGAGUCACGGUUAUGUUCAUAAAAGAGGGUUAGAAAUCCCUGUAAAAUCAAAUAUGUUGUAAUAAUUACCGCUAUUUCCAUUUUGUAUCAUGGGCUAGACUUUUGCAUGGAUGAGGAAAUUCCCAUAGCCUUGUUAAUUGUAGUUUGACUUGCAAGCUACUUUAAGACAGUUCGGUGGUUUUACUUAAUACCAUCUCUUGCUUAAACAAUGCAUAUAACGGCAACGUUUCAUUUACCAAUUUAGGUUGAAUGUUGUCAUAUGACUUAAAAAGAAAGAAAUAUAAUUUGUAACUAGUUAAGUUUUA